CUUGUCUAGGCCUUUCUGUCCUACCUUUUCCCUACUCUCCUUUCCCUUUUUUCCAGGGUGUAGGACUGUGUGUCCUUAUGUCCCUCCAAUGAGAUUUUUCUCAAUAGGUCUGAGGGGACACUAGGGCCUUUCUCAAUCGUAUAUUUUUCAUCAGAAUUUGUAAAGGAAUAAUGAGUCUGCAGGCUGUGAGGGUCACAGCAGUUUGUUACUGUAUCCCUAUGUCUUGUCUGAAUAAGAUUACAUGAACUUCAGCUCCAGCAUACUGUCUGGACACACCAAGGGAGUGAAGAAAGGGAGCAUCUCCUCAGUAUGCUAAGCUGCUAGCUGUGCCCUGAGCC
rnacentral:lncRNA from 1 species